rnacentral:lncRNA from 1 species
AUGGAGUCCUUGCCUUUCCCCCGGCGCCUCGGCCCUGCGCCCUCGGCCACUGCCGCGCUGGCCGCCGAGCUGGUCCGGCCCCUGGCCGACGGGCUUCUCAAGUCGCCCAAGCCCUUGAUGAAGAAGCAGGCGGUGAAGCGGCACCACCACAAGCACAACCUGCGACACCGCUACGAGUUCCUGGAGACCCUGGGCAAGGGGACUUACGGGAAGGUGAAGAAGGCGCGGGAGAGCUCCGGGCGCCUGGUGGCCAUCAAGUCAAUCCGGAAAGACAAAGUCAAAGAUGAGCAAGAUCUGAUGCACAUUCGGCGCGAGAUUGAGAUCAUGUCAUCGCUCAGCCACCCCCACAUCAUUGCCAUCCACGAAGUGUUUGAGAACAGCAGCAGGAUCGUGAUCGUCAUGGAGUACGCCAGCCGGGGUGACCUGUAUGACUACAUCAGCGGGCGGCAGCGGCUCAGCGAGCGUGAGGCCAGGCACUUCUUCCGGCAAAUCGUCUCCGCCGUGCACUACUGCCACCAGAACGGGGUUGUCCACCGGGAUCUCAAACUGGAGAAUAUCCUCUUAGAUGCCAACGGAAAUAUCAAGAUCGCUGACUUUGGCCUCUCCAACCUCUACCACCAAGGCAAGUUCCUGCAGACGUUCUGCGGGAGCCCCCUCUACGCCUCGCCGGAGAUCGUCAAUGGAAAGCCCUACACAGGACCAGAGGUGGACAGCUGGUCCCUGGGCGUUCUCCUCUACAUCCUGGUGCAUGGCUCCAUGCCCUUUGAUGGGCAGGACCACAAGACACUGGUGAAACAGAUCAGCAACGGGGCCUACCGGCAGCCUCCUAAACCCUCUGAUGCCUGUGGCCUAAUCCGGUGGCUACUGAUGGUGAACCCUACCCGCCGGGCCACCCUGGAGGACGUGGCCAGCCACUGGUGGGUCAACUGGGGCUACACCACCCGUGUCGGGGAGCAGGGGGCCCUGAACGAGGGCGGGCACCCCAGCAGCGACCCCGGCCGGACCUCCGUGGCUCAGUGGCUGUGGCGCUCCUCCCGACCCCUCCUGGAGAACGGCGCCAAGGUCUGCAGCUUCUUGAAGCAGCAGGCGCCGGGCGGCAGGGCCCUCGCCCCUGGCCUGGAGCGCCAGCACUCGCUCAAGAAGUCCCGCAAGGAGAACGCCAUGGCCCAGACCUUCCAGGGGGCCCCGGCCACUGAUGCCUCCCCUCGCCCUGGGAAGGGUGGCCUCAAGCUGCCGAAAGGCAUUCUCAAGAAGAAGACAUCAAAUCCCGCAGAGGGGGCAACACAGGGCCCUGAGCCCGGCCCCAGUCCCGCCAACCCAGGCCAGGCUGGCCCGCCGCUCCCCAAGAAGGGCAUCCUCAAGAAGGCACGCCAGCGGGAGUCCGGCUACUACUCCUCGCCUGAGCCCAGCGAGUCUGGGGAGCUCUUGGAUGCCGGGGACGUGUUUGUGAGUGGGGAUACCAUGGAGCACAAGCCCCCUCCAGCCUCGGGGCGGCCGCCGCAUCGCAAGGGUAUUCUCAAACACAAUGGCAAGUUCUCGCACGCGGCCCUGGAGCACACAGCGCCCACCGCCUUCGGCUCUUUGGAUGAACUGGCCUCCCCACGCCCUCCAGCCCGGGCCAGCCACCCCUCGGGGGCUGUGAGUGAGGAUAGCAUCCUGUCCUCUGAGUCCUUCGACCAGCUGGACUUGCCCGAACGGCUCCCCGAGCCCCCUCUGCGGGGCUCUGUGUCUGUGGACAACCUCAUGGGGCUGGAUGCACCCCCAUUGGAGGGCCCCGGAAGCCGAGGCCUGAGGCGCUGGAGGCAGGACCCCCUGGGGACUAGCUGCUUUUCUCUGCUGGACUGCCCGGAGGGGACAGAGGGCGGCCAGCAGGGACUGAGGGUCUGCUCGGAGCUCAGCUGA